GGAGGAGGCAAGCGUUGUCCGGAAUCAUUGGGCGUAAAGAGCGCGUAGGCUGUUUUUCAAGUCAUAUGUGAAAACCUCAGGCUUAACUUGAGGACUGCAUAUGAAACUGAAAAACUUGAGUGCAGUAGGGGAAAGUGGAAUUCCUGGUGUAGCGGUGAAAUGCGCAGAUAUCAGGAAGAACACCGGUAGCGAAGGCGGCUUUCUGGGCUGCUACUGACGCUGAGGCGCGAAAGCUAGGGGGGAGCAAACAGGAUUAGAUACCCUGGUAGUCCUAGCAGUAAACGAUGGACACUAGGUGUGGGGAGUUAUCGACGCUUUCCGUGCCGGAGCUAACGCAUUAAGUGUCCCCGCCCUGGGGAGUACGGUCGCAAGACUA
rnacentral:rRNA from 1 species